GACGAACGCUGGCGGCGUGCUUAACACAUGCAAGUCGAACGGAAAGGCCCUGCUUUUGUGGGGUGCUCGAGUGGCGAACGGGUGAGUAACACGUGAGUAACCUGCCCUUGACUUUGGGAUAACUUCAUGAAACUGGGGCUAAUACCGGAUAGGAGCUCCUGCUGCAUGGUGGGGGUUGGAAAGUUUCGGCGGUUGGGGAUGGACUCGCGGCUUAUCAGCUUGUUGGUGGGGUAGUGGCUUACCAAGGCUUUGACGGGUAGCCGGCCUGAGAGGGUGACCGGCCACAUUGGGACUGAGAUACGGCCCAGACUCCUACGGGAGGCAGCAGUGGGGAAUAUUGAACAAUGGGCGGAAGCCUGAUGCAGCAACGCCGCGUGCGGGAUGACGGCCUUCGGGUUGUAAACCGCUUUCGCCUGUGACGAAGCGUGAGUGACGGUAAUGGGUAAAGAAGCACCGGCUAACUACGUG
rnacentral:rRNA from 1 species